UGGGUUUCACCUGGAGAGAGCCUCACCUGAGUCACGGUGGGGGAGUGUCGGUUGGGUUCAGUUUGGCUACUUUUUUCUCUUCUCUCUGUGUAGAGACAUUUUUGAUUCCAACCCACAAUAGGCACCAGCGAGAUUGCAAAAUUACAGCAAGUAAACCUAAAGGCUUUUGGAGAAAAGAAGGCUAUACAGUUUGGAUCAUAAAGACCCUCCCGACUGAAAUGCAUUGGUCAGUUCAUGGAGCAUACCUGGUCUUCCAGAGCACUCCUGGCCAAGCAAGGAUUCUCACACGGAAGGAAUCAUAAAAUGAAGCAAACAGCAGUCAGGGCCCACACGGAUCCAUUACUUUCCAGAAGUACUUCAAAACUUACUAGGCAAAAGAGAACCACUAAAAGCCAUGUCCCCAGUGGAUGUCUGACAACCCUGUCCAGUAACAAGAAAGGGUCUGGAUUCCCAAUUGGCAGCCUGCAGCAAGGAAUCAC